AAAUGUUUUUUUGGCCUGUGUUGAAUUUUACCUGUGUGAUUUUAUAAUCUGUUUCAUUCACACCUGGUUCGGAUUAUAGACAUAAGAUAUGCUUUUGAAAACUGUAUAUCGUGUCAGUUUCCAUGGCUAUGCUCUGCUGCCCAAUCGCUUAGGGGUCCGAUAAUGAGCUUGCUGUGUGGUUUCUUUUGUUGUUGAGUUCGGUUGAGAUUGUUAUUUAUGCAAAAUAUCGAACCCAGGACCUCCUAGAUGUUGUUUAUCAUUUAUUCUCUAGGGUCAAAAUUCUGCUUUGUUUCUCCAAAAAAAUUCCUAUGUGGUUAAGUCUUUGUAGUAAAUUUUUACAUUGUUGAAUUCUUAUUCUUGUGCUUUUAGAUUGAGGAACUACUGGAAGAUUUGCACGUGCAAUUGUCUCCGCUUUUGUCUGAAUAGGUUUCUCCCCUUUUAUCUUUUAUUUUUCUGAGACCAGCUAAAACCUAAACAUAAGAGCUCCCAUUAGCAUUUUGCAGUGCUCUCUUUAUAGCAAGCUAGCUGGCCACUUUGCUGUUUGAUUUCUUGGAGACAUUCUUUAAAUUGGUAGUGUAAUUGAUGCUUCUGAUUUCACUGGCAAAUGAUCAAUAUUGUGUCAUAAGUUUCUAACUAGCUAUUUUUUCACGUUCACAUAUAGCUGAACAUUUUUGCUGUUUAUUCUUUUUCUUAAUGGUUCAUUGGAGACAUGUUGAACCCUCCAUUUGUUUACUCUAAAGUAGCUGUACUUUUGCAGUUGCUUUGACCCAUUUGGUGAUCCGUGACCAUUAGGAUUCUUACUUUCUUUGUUUCUUCCAAUAAUUUCCUUGUUAUUGCCUUGGCAAUACACUAUUCCAUUUCUUCAAGUGGUUUAUAACUAUAUACAAUAAUUGCUAUACCCAUGAAGCACUUGCUUAUUUAGGAAGAAGAUAAUUGAAUGAUUAUCCCAUUCAGUGUCAAAUUCCUGAGGCCUUACAUAAAACACUGAAGCUAUUGAUAUUGACUAAGCUUUCUACUCUUACCGAAAACUGCCAAUGACUCAAAAUUUCUUAAGAACUGGUGAUUUGAUUGGAAAGAAAAGAAGAUUGAAAAAGAAAGGGAUUGAAUUUUAACUCAUUCUAGCAACAUAAAUUGAAUUGGACUUGCAACUUCAUCAAAUCAAAGGGGUGUGGCAUCUCUACACCAUUAUCAACAUGAAAGUUUCUGCUAUUUGCCAACGAACACAAUUUCUAAACCAGGAGCAAAGCAAUAGUAAAAAAGCAUCUCUUUUUUUGGUUAUAGCAUUUCAGCUAAGUUACCGGAUUCUCCUGGGCUGCUUCAGAUUUGGGUCUUGGUUCUCUUUGGAUCCUGGUCCGAGCCUGGCAGCUGGGUUCUCUGUGGGUCCUGAGACGGCUGGGUUCUCCUGUGGGUCCUGAGACGGCUGGGUUCUCUGUGGGAUCUGAUUCUCAUGACCCACAGAGAACCCAGAUGUCUGGGAGGAAUCCGGGGGGAAUCCACCGAGCACCCAAGCAGACUUGGGCGGACCAAGGCCUGUGGGUUUCCAAAAAUGAGGCCCAUGGGUCAUAAAGUAACAAAUUUUAAUUAAAAAACAUUUUUUUAAAUAUUUUUUUAACAAUAAACCCUAAUUCACCCCUUAUGACCAGAACCCGAAUACGAGGAUUUGGUUUACAUACACUCCAACUUUCGUUUGUUGUCAUAUAAGAAACCUGAGUAUAAUGCGGGUGCAACAAGGAGUUGGGAUCUAGCCCCUGAGUGUGCUGAUUUAAAUGCUACGGUUGCACAGCUUGCCCAAGUCUCUAUAGACAAGGCAGCUAUGGAACUUGAGAGAGACAUAGCUAGUAGGAGUGGCAUUCAAAUCGAUGGUGGUUCAAUUGAUGCUGAAUUUGAACCAAUUGAUGACCUUGGGCUUGGGUUGGAUAAUUCAGAUGAAGAUGAAUAUGGAGAUUUGUAAUAUGACAAUAUAUAUAUAUAUAUAUUUAUUAGCAAUUAUGCAUUGUAAAUUUGUAUGGGUUGUAUCAUUAUAAUAAUUAAUAAUGGUAAUGGUAGUUUAUAUAAUUAUAUUUUAUAAUUUUGAUAUUUGAACACGAACACGAACACGAAUGACAAGGAAAAUUGCCUCGAUAACUCUCAUUUCCUCUGUUGGGAGUCUGCCAUUUCAGAUAACAGAGUCUGCCUCAAAUAAGAAAUUUCUGAUACCAUGAAGAAUUUGAUAACCAUAUGUAACAUGGAGUUGUGUAUUUUCUUAAACUGGUGAAUUAAGGAAUCCAUUGAUGCCCUGGCCCUUUAAAUAGAAGAGCGGCACUAUUACAUUCAGAUAACCAAUGAAACAUUAUCAAUGAAUCCAACACAACUGAAAUACUCAAAAGAAGCUAUCAAAACUGCCUUGCCUGCAAAAAAUAACACCACUUCCCAACAGGCAAUAUCUAAAUAAUGUCCCAAUUCAACAAAACAAUGGAUGCGCUAUACUCAAUCCUGCCACACACAGGAGGACAUAACCAAACUUCCAAAAGCACUUACUAUGAAAUGAUUUGGGAUCACUCUCAAAAGCAAUUUUGAUCAGUCACCAUCACACACUUGAGAUAAUUACAUUCAUUGGCUUAUAGAGCAAUUGACUCCUGUACAAACCAAACCAAUUACUUCCCAUCAAGAAACUUCCUAACAACUAAACUAAAAAUGUUUUUUAAACACUGCCACAUUUGUAAUGUUAAUUUAUUUAACUAAUAUUUUGAUUUCAAUCUUUAUUCUAUAAAAUUGGAUGCAACACAUUUUCAUUGGUCAAAUUAUGUUGAAUUGAAAUUGUUAACCAGGUUCAGCAGGCAUGCUCCCAUUCUAGGGUGGGGAAAACGACUGAGAAUAGCUCUGGAUGUAUCUUGAAGUCUUGAAUACCUUCAUGAACUUAUCACACCUUCUGUUAUCCACAGAGACUUAAAACUAGUAACAUUCUACUGGCUAAAAAUUUCAAGGCCGAAGUGCCUUUUUGGUUUUGCUAGGCUAGGCUCUCAUGAAAUUAAUGGCCAUGUAUCAAUUCGCAUCCUGAGAACUUAAGGAUAUUUCGCAGCACAGAGAGUACUGUGAUUUCUCUAUACUCAUUCAUUCUAUUAUAUUUGAAUUUUGACACCAUCUUACCUUAUUGAUUUGUUCUCAGGUAUGUCUUGACAGGACACUUGACAACAAAAUCUGAUGUUUAUAGUUAUAACUUAUGGGGUUGUGCUUUCAGAUCUUAUAACUGGCAGAAAGCCUGUCGAUAUGAAGAGGCCUCCUGGCCAAGGCAUUCUUUUCUCUUGGGCUCUUCCUUUUUGAAAUGGUUCAUCCUGCACUACAAGGACAGUUUUCUACCAAGGGACUAGUACAGGCAGGUUGCAGCAAUUGCAGCCAUGUUUGUUCAACCGGAAGCAGAUUAUCACCCUUUCAUGAGGGAUGUGGUGCAGUCUCUCAACCUCCUUGUCAGGCAGUAUUCUAGAUCUGAAAACUACCUGCACUUCUCUAUGAGACCAAUUUAGUAUUCAACAGAAAGAUAGCACAAGGGGAAGAAAUGGAAUGAAUUGAAUUAAUGCCCUUUGAAGUUUUAGUCUGAAUGCAUGGUCUUUCAGUCCCAGAUUUUUAAAAUACAAAAUAAGAAAACCAUCAAGAGAAGCCCAACAUUGACAUUCAUGAUGCAGCUGUUUCUGUUCAUCAACAAUAUUUUGCAGAUGUUCCAUUAAUCCAGUGUAACAUAGCCUGGAUUUGGCAUUGAUGUUGUAUCUCUAUAAUAGUAGAUAUUUGUUUGUGCAUCAGCAUGGCAGUAUAGUAGUUAGCCAAAUUUGGAAGAUCAAUGUGUUAAAUAUUAUAGAAGCCCAUCAUUCAGUCUCA